rnacentral:rRNA from 1 species
AAAGCUAUUUAGGUAGCGGCUCGUGAACGCAUCUUCGGGGGUAGAGCACGGUUUCGGCUAGGGGGUCAUCCCGACUUACCAACCCGAUGCAAACUACGAAGACCGAAGAAUGUUAUCACGGGAGACACACGGCGGGUGCUAACGUCCGUCGUGAAGAGGGAAACAACCCAGCCCGCCAGCUAAGGUCCCAAAGUCAUGGUCAAGUGGGAAACGAUGUGGGAAGGCAAAGACAGCCAGGAUGUUGGCUUAGAAGCAGCCAUCAUUUAAAGAAAGCGUAAUAGCUCACUGGUCGAGUCG